UCAACCAAGGUGGAUUGUGGCGCUCAUAGGUGCAUAUGCGCAUGCGCGAUAACAGUGAAAAUGGUGUCACUCAGCUACCCGGUCUGUUCUCCUGGAUCAGUAAUCCGCAGCAUCCUCUGUCUUCAGCUCUCCGCCACACCCCGCUUUUUCAAUCCGUGACCAGGCCCCAGGCAGUACCUCUCUCCUGAGUUCUGUCUCAGACUCGGCUGUUUUCCCCAGGCCCUUACUUCUGAAGGACCGGGACUUUGACCGGUUCUGCCCCUCUGCGGGAGGGUCUCACCCAGCAAUGGCUGAAUGAGCAAUGGCCGAGUGUUGGCCGCACCCAGGAACUAUUGCAGGACCCUGCUGCUGCCAGUGCCCGAGACUGCGGCCGGGUGCCAGCCCGCCCCAGAAAAAGUUCGCGAAACAGGGUAGUAGCAGUGUGUCAGGGAUGAUGGAAACUCACAACACGCAUCUGGCACCAGGCUUCACCCUUAACGAUGGUGCUUGUUCCAGCCCCAGCGAAUGAGGCCGUUUUCUGGGGUCUGCCGGGACCAGAGGGCUUCAACCGUCUCCAGCAAAUGUCCUUCCAGCAGUGGAACCGCUUUUCCCCGUGUGGCCCGAGAACCUCCCGGACCCCACCCUGCUCCUGGGGAUUCGCCCUUCUCACCAGAGCACCGCCAGAUGGAGAGGCUGGCUGCACUUGAGCAAUUUUGCAGAAUUACGUGGAUUAUAAAUGUCAGAAGUAGGAUUUGAACCCAGCCUGGCUGCUUGUCCACUCCAUCACAUGCUUUCUACCUGCAAACCUGGGACGAAGGUCUGUUUCCAGAUCCAUGUUGGGAAGUCCAAGAUCAAGAUGCUGGUGGACUUCAGUGUCUGGUGAGAACCCUGUUCCUCAUUGUGGAUGGCCACCUCUUGCUGUGUCCUCACAUAGCAGAGAGGGGCUCUGGUCUCUUUCCUCUUCUUACAAAGGUGUAUCUGUUUCCCCACAUCAGGGUCCAGGCUUCAGUUAUAAUUAUAUUCUCAUGCGCUCCCUACCACUGUGGAGGAACCCCUCUUCCUACCAACUCUGCAGAGCCUUCUGUCUUUUCUAGCGGCUGCAGUAGAAGGCAGGGAAGUGCCCUUUCCUGGACUGACCAGAGGAUCCUGUUCUACUGUCUUCUGGUACCUAAAUGGUGACUGUGUCUGGUAUAUCAGAGAUGCAUGUGCAUGACUGAGAGCUGAAUCUUGCGGGAAAUUGUGGCUAUAAUUUAACAUGUAAGACCUUCUACAGGGAAGAUAAUGGAGAAAAAUUUCUCUAUCAGCUGAGACAGCCUGGCAAGGGCACUUUGACAGGCAUUACAGAUGAUAUCACAGUGAAUGACACACACAAACACUUCUCUUGAGAAGCCUGGAGGGAAGAACACAGAUGCAACUAACAAUGGAGAAAACAUGGGAGCUACAGGAAAGGUUCAAAACAACGCGUGGGACUUGUGGCUGCCGCUAACUGUUUUAGUUGUAAGAAGCUUAGGACUCAAUGCCCAAGAACCAUAUUACAGGAUAUUCACGCAGUUCCCUGACUCUUACCUUCCCUCCGGGCUGAUGACUAGUUUUGGCGGGUGGACUGUGAACAGUGUGACGUGUCACCUCCAGGUUAAGGAAAUUAGAAGCUGCUUUGACUCCUCCUCUCCUCCCCUAAAUGAUGAGCUUGGUGUCUACAUCCUCUAAAUGGCAUAACUCCAAGACAGGUUUAGCCACACCCAUACUUUACAGCUAAUUUAAUAGCUAGAGAGAGGAAAAUUGUUACCAGAUUCCUAGAAACAGCCUUUUUGGAUUUAGAGGAUCCUUAGUUCCAAAUCCAAUUACAGGAAGUGUAUCAUCUGCUUUAAGAAAGACAUUGAGAAAGAAAAGCAUAUGUGAAAAGGCAGGGCUGUUAUGUUCCCGAGACGCCCACUCACCAAUAUUCUUAAGGGCACUGCCAAGGAGGAAAGGCUGAAGACAGUUGGCAUAUCCAAAGUCAAAUGAUGUGUGAUCCUUGAGCUCAAGAGGUUUACUACCUAAUGGAUAUUCAGAUGCUUUAAACACAGACACACAAGAUGUAAGAAGUGCUGUGCAUUGAGGGAGGACACAGUUCUAAGGCUUUAUACACAACAUGGGAGUUGAACUCAUGACCCUGGAAUCAAGAGUUGCAUGUUGACUGAUAGCCAGGCAGCCCAUCCAAAAGUUCACUUCUAGAGGUCUUCUGUCUUCUAAGACUUUCUGCAAUGCAUAUAGAGACCAUGAUCGCAUUCAAAGCAAGUUGUAUUUGCUUCCUAAGUGACAAGCUCUUCCUUAAACUUUCGACUGACCUGUAUCUGUGUAUUUGUGGUUCUUUGGCACUGGCUUCAUUGACUUCCAUACAGCCAUUCUAUAAACAAGAAGGCUGACGAGCAGGGAGACUUGGUCAUCAUGCCCGUGAUUGCUUGGAUCUUGAACUCCAUCUCCGUGCUGCCCCACCUUGUUCAAUUUACUGCUGAGGGACCGACCAACUAAAUAUCAAUGGGCUUGAUCUGGGGUCACUGUCCCAGGUCCUGUGGGGAGCAGAAUGGAAGUAGAAUAUAUAUACACUGUAUUGCUUUUCUAAACUUAGAAAACAUCUGCAUGCUCAGAGAUAUUUGGCUGUGGGUUUCAGGGAAACUUUGGCCCUACUGCACCUGCUGCCUCUUACCCCAAAGCAGAGUCCUGAUACAUGCGUCUUUUGAACUACAGAUGCAGAAAAGUUAAAUAUCCUCAAAUCUAACCACUGGGCUCUGGCAACCAUCUCUACUUGCAUAGAUCUGUCUGUUUUAGAACCUAUUCCCAGGAGGGUCUUGGCUCCUGGGACUAUUGAUUUCAUCUCUCCCAUUAGCAUAUGGCAUUACCACGUCAGUCUCAUGAGGAAAGACAGGGAUGGCAGGAUGUACCUAAUUUCUUUCUGACGCCUGUGGUCUCACAGGCUUCUGUUAGCUUCUCAGCAGGAGUCAGAUGAGUUGUGGCAGGUCUUCUGGGCAAUAUGGCUAUAGCUGUUUUCUUCUCUCUACUCGUGAAUGAAUAAUGUCACGUUGCAUAUUUUUAUUUUAUCAUUUUACAUUUGUUAAGUAUUUUUCUUAAGUUUCUUCUGAAGAUGGUUUUAUUCUAAAAUUCUCUUAUACACAUUUGAGUUGAAAUAUAUGUGGAAUAUCAGCUAGUUGACCUUGAUAAUUUAAAUUCCUUGAGCUUUUUAAAAAAAUCAUCUUUAAUUGAGAAUGAUUAAAUAAACUUGCCUAUCAAUAUCA